rnacentral:rRNA from 1 species
AUUGAACGCUGGCGGCAUGCUUUACACAUGCAAGUCGAACGGUAACAGGCCGCAAGGUGCUGACGAGUGGCGAACGGGUGAGUAAUGCAUCGGAACGUGCCCAGUCGUGGGGGAUAACGCAGCGAAAGCUGCGCUAAUACCGCAUACGAUCUCUGGAUGAAAGCGGGGGACCGAAAGGCCUCGCGCGAUUGGAGCGGCCGAUGUCAGAUUAGGUAGUUGGUGGGGUAAAGACCCACCAAGCCAACGAACUGUAGCUGGUCUGAGAGGACGACCAGGCAAACGGGGAAUGCGACACGGCCCAGACUCCUCCGGGAGGCAGCAGUGGCGAAUGUUGGAGAAUGGGCGAAAGCCUGAUCCAGCAAUGCCGCGUGCAGGAAGAAGGCCUUCGGGUUGUAAACUGCUUUGGUACGGAACGAAACGGUCCGGGCUAAUACCCUGGGAUAAUGACGGUAGCGUAAGAAUAUGCACCGGCUAACUACGUGCCAGCCGCCGCAGUAA